rnacentral:rRNA from 1 species
GAUGAACGCUGGCGGUAUGCUUAACACAUGCAAGUCGAACGGACUCUUCGGAGUUAGUGGCGGACGGGUGAGUAACGCGUGAGAAUCUGGCUUUGGGUUCGGGACAACCACUGGAAACGGUGGCUAAUACCGGAUGUGCCGAGAGGUAAAAGAGAAAUUGCCUGAAGAUGAGCUCGCGUCUGAUUAGCUCGUUGGUGAGGUAAAGGCUCACCAAGGCAGCGAUCAGUAGCUGGUCUGAGAGGAUGACCAGCCACACUGGGACUGAGACACGGCCCAGACUCCUACGGGAGGCAGCAGUGGGGAAUUUUCCGCAAUGGGCGAAAGCCUGACGGAGCAAUACCGCGUGAGGGAAGAAGGCUCUUGGGUUGUAAACCUCUUUUCUUAGGGAAGAACAAAAUGACGGUACCUAAGGAAUCAGCAUCGGCUAACUCCGUG